GAUGAACGCUGGCGGCGUGCCUAAUACAUGCAAGUCGAGCGAACAGAUGAGGAGCUUGCUCCUCUGACGUUAGCGGCGGACGGGUGAGUAACACGUGGAUAACCUACCUAUAAGUCUGGGAUAACUUCGGGAAACCGGAGCUAAUACCGGAUAAUAUAUUGAACCGCAUGGUUCAAUAGUGAAAGACGGUUUUGCUGUCACUUAUAGAUGGAUCCGCGCCGCAUUAGCUAGUUGGUAAGGUAACGGCUUACCAAGGCAACGAUGCGUAGCCGACCUGAGAGGGUGAUCGGCCACACUGGAACUGAGACACGGUCCAGACUCCUACGGGAGGCAGCAGUAGGGAAUCUUCCGCAAAGGGCGAAAGCCUGACGGAGCAACGCCGCGUGAGUGAUGAAGGUCUUCGGAUCGUAAAACUCUGUUAUUAGGGAAGAACAAAUGUGUAAGUAACUAUGCACGUCUUGACGGUACCUAAUCAGAAAGCCACGGCUAACUACGUG
rnacentral:rRNA from 1 species